rnacentral:lncRNA from 1 species
AUGUGAAUAUUCAUAAAUACAGAUACUAUGAAAUUCAGGACCAUGUAUAUUAGGUUUAAAUUGAUGCAUUUAUUUAUUUAUUUAUUGUUUUUAUAUUUUUUUCUAUUCCUAAAUUAGAGUCAGAAAAAUAUUGUGAGCCAAACUCCCCAAUCGAUUUGAUGAAAAGUAACAGAUUAACUAGAUACAACAUAUUACAACAUUGCCAGUUUCUCCUUAGGAAGAAAAUCUCUU